AACGAACGCUGGCGGCAGGCUUAACACAUGCAAGUCGAACGCCCCGCAAGGGGAGUGGCAGACGGGUGAGUAACGCGUGGGAACAUACCCUUUCCUGCGGAAUAGCUCUGGGAAACUGGAAUUAAUACCGCAUACGCCCUACGGGGGAAAGAUUUAUCGGGGAAGGAUUGGCCCGCGUUGGAUUAGCUAGUUGGUGGGGUAAAGGCCUACCAAGGCGACGAUCCAUAGCUGGUCUGAGAGGAUGAUCAGCCACAUUGGGACUGAGACACGGCCCAAACUCCUACGGGAGGCAGCAGUGGGGAAUAUUGGACAAUGGGCGCAAGCCCGAUCCAGCCAUGCCGCGUGAGUGAUGAAGGCCUUAGGGCUGUAAAGCUCUUUCACCGAUGAAGAUAAUGACGGUAGUCGGAGAAGAAGCCCCGGCUAACUUCGUGCCAGCCGCCGCCGUAAGAC
rnacentral:rRNA from 1 species